rnacentral:rRNA from 1 species
AGAGUUUGAUCAUGGCUCAGAACGAACGCUGGCGGCGUGGAUAAGACAUGCAAGUCGGGCGGGAUUUCUUUCUGUAGCAAUACAGAGAGAAGUCUAGCGGCGAACGGGUGCGUAACACGUGGGCAAUCUACCUUUAGGUGCGGGAUAGCUCGGCGAAAGCCGGAUUAAUACCGCAUGUGAUCAGGGAGGACAUCCUUCCGAAAUCAAAGUCGGGGCAACCUGACGCUUUUAGAGGAGCCCGCGGCCUAUCAGCUUGUUGGUGAGGUAACGGCUCACCAAGGCGUUGACGGGUAGCUGGUCUGAGAGGACGACCAGCCACACUGGGACUGAGACACGGCCCAGACACCUACGGGUGGCAGCAGUCGAGAAUUUUUCUCAAUGGGGGAAACCCUGAAGGAGCGACGCCGCGUGGAGGAUGAAGGUCUUCGGAUUGUAAACUCCUGUCAUUUGGGAACAAUGCGCAAAUAUUAACUGUAUUUGCGUUGAUAGUACCAGAAGAGGAAGAGACGGCUAACUCUGUGCCAGCAGCCGCGGUAAUACAGAGGUCUCAAGCGUUGUUCGGAUUCAUUGGGCGUAAAGGGUGUGUAGGUGGCGCCGUAAGUCGGGUGUGAAAUUUCGGAGCUUAACUCCGAAACUGCAUUCGAUACUGCGGUGCUUGAGGACUGGAGAGGAGACUGGAAUUUACGGUGUAGCAGUGAAAUGCGUAGAUAUCGUAAGGAAGACCAGUGGCGAAGGCGGGUCUCUGGACAGUUCCUGACACUGAGACACGAAGGCCAGGGGAGCAAACGGGAUUAGAUACCCCCGUAGUCC